rnacentral:lncRNA from 1 species
GACGGUUUAUUCCAACCCGCGAAACACAAUUUUCUGCAAGGUGAUCAGAAUAAUUAGUUUGUUAACUAUGAAAAGUUAUUUUCUUUUAGAUUUUUUUUCUUACUAUGAAAAGUUUAUGUAAUUACGUACUAAUUAGUCAAGGCAGUCUUACGAUUGCUUAAACGAUGUAACAUGAAGUGCAGAAUCCAUUAAUCUGACGGGCCAUUCCUUAGUCCAUACCAUCC